CAUCACUCAUCCAUAUUCAAAAACUCUAAACAUGAUUGAAAGAAAAUGCUAUCAGAGAAACAUUGCAACACCCCACCAAAGUUCCAAAUAAAAUCUGCCGAGAGUCCCUUCCCCAAAAGUGUGACAGAUGGUCUUUUUUAGCUAGGCCAUGUGUCCUAAAAUUAGAGUGGGGUCCGCCCUAAAAACCCUAAAGUUUAUGCCAAGUGUUCCUCAAAGUUUGGGCCCAUCAUAAAAUUUAACAAUGGCCCAAUAUGCAAAAGUUUGUCUAAAAAGUUUAAACAAUUAAAUUACAAGAUAACUAAAAUUUAAAAUGUCUAAUAUGAGAGUCUUGAAUUUAUUUUGUCUCCUUCCCAAUGCUCCAAAUUGUAUCUCCAAAAUUUUCCCUGCAAAUAAUUAGCUCAGAAAAUUCAAAUUAAUUCAAAUUUGAAUUUCCUGUCAAAUUAAGCAUAAUUAGGAAAAAUGGGAAAAUACCGGACAAUUAAGCAUAAUUUCAUGAUUAAUUCUAGCACAAUAAACUAAGUAAAGUCGAGAAAAUAUUGACUCAUCAAUUACACAUAAGGGUAUGGGUCUUAGUCGUCUUAACCUCCUAAUCUUCACAUCUUUUUACUAGGAAUGCUAGGAAUUGUAUGAACUGGAAAUUAGGGACAAACUUAUUUACCGAGACAUCGAGUUUAAGUGUUUUAGUGAGGGAUGUUGGCAGUAAUGAAUGAAGAAGAAUUCUUAGAUACAUGAGAGGGAACUUGGUGAAAUCUAACCCCAACAUACUCAUCUCACAUAAAUCAACCUCCAUUCAUCUUUGUUCUCUUUUGCCACUGAUCACUUUUACUUUGCUUUAUUUUAUUCUUUUUGCUAUACAAUCCAUGAUCUCUUUUCUUUUAAGUCUUAAUUAAUCCUGUUUUGACACAACUGUUCAGCGUUGAGAGUCCUCUGGGAUAUGAUACUUGGUCUUACCAUUUUAUAUUACUUGUGCGACUCGAUACACUUGCCGAUUUGCU
rnacentral:lncRNA from 1 species